AGCUAGUGUGGUGUAGUGGUUUGAGUGUUGGACUACAACUCCAAAGAAAAGGGUUAAAAUCCCCACUUGGCCA